CCCAGACUCCUACGGGAGGCAGCAGUGAGGAAUAUUGGUCAAUGGACGAGAGUCUGAACCAGCCAAGUAGCGUGAAGGAUGACUGCCCUAUGGGUUGUAAACUUCUUUUAUAUGGGAAUAAAACAGGGUAUGCAUACCCUCUUGUAUGUACCAUAUGAAUAAGGAUCGGCUAACUCCGUGCCAGCAGCCGCGGUAAUACGGAGGAUCCGAGCGUUAUCCGGAUUUAUUGGGUUUAAAGGGUGCGUAGGCGGAAGUUUAAGUCAGCGGUCAAUUGUCGGUGCUCAACACCGGCCUGCCGUUGAAACUGGUCUUCUUGAGUGAGCGAGAAGUAUGCGGAAUGCGUGGUGUAGCGGUGAAAUGCAUAGAUAUCACGCAGAACUCCGAUUGCGAAGGCAGCAUACCGGCGCUCAACUGACGCUGAGGCACGAAAGCGUGGGGAUCGAACAGGAUUAGAUACCCCAGUAU
rnacentral:rRNA from 1 species